rnacentral:rRNA from 1 species
CAGCAGCCACGGGAAUACGUAGGGUGCGAGCGUUAAUCGGAAUUACUGGGCGUAAAGCGUGCGCAGGCGGCUUUGCAAGACAGAUGUGAAAUCCCCGGGCUCAACCUGGGAACUGCAUUUGUGACUGCAAGGCUAGAGUGCGGCAGAGGGAGAUGGAAUUCCACGUGUAGCGGUGAAAUGCGUUGAGAUCGGAAAGAACACCAACGGCGAAAGCACUCUGCUGGGCCGACACUGACACUGAGAGACGAAAGCUAGGGGAGCAAAUGGGAUUAGAUACCCCCGUAGUCCCUGUCUCUUAUAC